rnacentral:tRNA from 1 species
UCCGGAGUGUUCCAACAGCAGGAUCCACGGCUUUGAACCGUCGGGGUGGGGGUGCAACUCCCUCCUCCGGAG